rnacentral:sRNA from 1 species
GGACCAGAUUAAGACACGAGAAGCAGUUGCCACACUUCACAAGGAUGGCAUAGAGUUUGCAUUUAAAUACCAAAAUCAGAAAGGACAAGAGUAUCCACCUCCUAAUCUGGCUUUUCUUGAAGUACUAAGUGAAUUUUCUUCUAAACUUCUUCGACAGGACAAAAAGACGGUUCAUUCAUACCUAGAGAAAUUCCUUACCGAGCAGAUGAUGGAAAGGAGGGAAGAUGUAUGGCUUCCACUCAUCUCCUAUAGAAAUUCAUUAGUCACUGGGGGUGAAGAUGAUAGAAUGUCUGUGAACAGUGGAAGUAGCAGCAGCAAAACCUCAUCAGUAAGGAAUAAGAAAGGACGACCUCCACUUCAUAAAAAACGAGUAGAAGGUAAGUCUGCCUUUACACUAUAAGAAACAAUUUGCCUGGUUUUAAAGAGAUAAAGUAGCAAAUAAUCUUUUGAAGCAAGAUAAUAGUAUCAGGCACAUGAUUUUCUUGUAUAUUUUAUUCACAAUGAGAUGUUAAGGCAAAAAGGUUGAAACAGAUGAAGUAAGACAGAAAAGCAUCAAGGAAAAAGAAGUUGAGGAAGCAUGGAGCACAAAGGAAGACAGACCAAAAGAAGAAAAAAUUAGCUAGGUCUAUAAAAUCAAUCCCCAUACUAUAUGCCUCUAAUACAUUAAAAUAUAAAGUAAGAUAGUCACAAUGCUAUUCUAUUAAAAUUCUUCCUAAUAUAGGUGAGAUACAGGUAAUUUGAGGGUA